CACACGCGUGUGCACACAUUGGUGUGUAUGUGAAACUGAGGCAGGAACAUCCUAAAGCAAUACCUACCCUACGAUGCACAGUGCUAUUUUCAUCCUACUUUUGGUUUUCAUUCUGUAAAUCUUAGAUAUGACCCAUUAAAUUGAUUUUAUAAGCCACAAUUGGGUCACAACCUGUAGCUGCAGUAGAGGUCAACAAGGACUGGGUCAGGCCAGCCUUUUCCAGAGUGGGCCAGGCUGGGCUCCACUGUGUCCACCUCUGUCCUCACUUCCCUCUCUGCCUGGUCCCCAACCAGCUGGACAGAAGGGGUCUGAAUGCUCACAUCAAUCCUGAGACAGAACUUUCCUUGCCCCAUCUUGACCUCUGUAGGUGCCCCCCGGCCCCCAGUCCGGCUCUAGUGUCCGUUUCCCUCCGCAGGAGAUUGAUCUCUCCAUGGAUCUCGACUCACCGAGGCAAAUGCCUGCUACAGUCUGUGUGUGAGAAGUCCCUGCUGCCUGAGCAGAGGAGCAAGGGGAGCUACAUCAACAGGAAGGCUCGCUGCUUCUGUGGGCAAGCCUGCUGGCUUUGUGACCAUGUGAGCCAGUGGUUGCUAGGUUACCCCUUCCCCACAACUCCAGAACCGCUCUCCAGCACCCCUCUCCUCACCCCCACACAGCUCCUCUGAUCCCUCCAGAUGUGCCACCUAGUGCUAAGCCACUCGUCCUGCCAGAGACACAGAACAGUGAUGUGUGACUUACACUUACUCUCACGGGACUGCUGGGAAGACUGAGUGACUUCGUGCAUAUUGAAGUGUUUAGGACAGUGCCAGGCACUAAGUAGGAGCGCCUACCAUUCAUGCCUUCUCGGAGCCUGUAAGACAGGGCAGCCGCCUCUACUCCUGGUGUCUUUCUGAAGGACAAGUGAGCUCAGGGAAGCCAGGUACCUGGCUUUUACCUGGCACACCCGAGAUGCUCAAAAAUAGUAAUAAUAAUGCUCAUUAAUAUUGGUGUCUUGGGGGAUCCCUGGGUGGCUCAGUGGUUUAGCAUUUG